AACGCGAAGAACCUUACCUGGGCUUGACAUGUUCCCGACGGUGCCAGAGAUGGGGCUUCCCUUCGGGGCGGGUUCACAGGUGGUGCAUGGUCGUCGUCAGCUCGUGUCGUGAGAUGUUGGGUUAAGUCCCGCAACGAGCGCAACCCUCGCCCCGUGUUGCCAGCACGUUAUGGUGGGAACUCACGGGGGACCGCCGGGGUUAACUCGGAGGAAGGUGGGGAUGACGUCAGAUCAUCAUGCCCCUUACGUCCAGGGCUUCACGCAUGCUACAAUGGCCGGUACAGCGGGAUGCGACAUGGCGACAUGGAGCGGAUCCCUGAAAACCGGUCUCAGUUCGGAUCGGAGCCUGCAACCCGGCUCCGUGAAGGCGGAGUCGCUAGUAAUCGC
rnacentral:rRNA from 1 species